GACGAACGCUGGCGGCGUGCUUAACACAUGCAAGUCGAACGGAAAGGCCCUGCUUUUGUGGGGUGCUCGAGUGGCGAACGGGUGAGUAACACGUGAGUAACCUGCCCUUGACUUUGGGAUAACUUCAGGAAACUGGGGCUAAUACCGGAUAGGAGCUCCUGCUGCAUGGUGGGGGUUGGAAAGUUUCGGCGGUUGGGGAUGGACUCGCGGCUUAUCAGCUUGUUGGUGGGGUAGUGGCUUACCAAGGCUUUGACGGGUAGCCGGCCUGAGGGGGUGACCGGCCACAUUGGGACUGAGAUACGGCCAGACUCCUACGGGAGGCAGCAGUGGGGAAUAUUGCACAAUGGGCGGAAGCCUGAUGCAGCAACGCCGCGUGCGGGAUGACGGCCUUCGGGUUGUAAACCGCUUCCGCCUGUGACGAAGCGUGAGUGACGGUAAUGGGUAAAGAAGCACCGGCUAACUACGUGCCAGCAGCCGCGGUGAUACGUAGGGUGCGAGCGUUGUCCGGAUUUAUUGGGCGUAAAGGGCUCGUAGGUGGUUGAUCGCGUCGGAAGUGUAAUCUUGGGGCUUAACCCUGAGCGUGCUUUCGAUACGGGUUGACUUGAGGAAGGUAGGGGAGAAUGGAAUUCCUGGUGGAGCGGUGGAAUGCGCAGAUAUCAGGAGGAACACCAGUGGCGAAGGCGGUUCUCUGGGCCUUUCCUGACGCUGAGGAGCGAAAGCGUGGGGAGCGAACAGGCUUAGAUACCCUGGUAGUCCACGCUGUAAACGGUGGGUACUAGGUGUGGGGUCCAUUCCACGGGUUCCGUGCCGUAGCUAACGCUUUAAGUACCCCGCCUGGGGAGUACGGCCGCAAGGCUAAAACUCAAAGGAAUUGACGGGGCCCCGCACAAGCGGCGGAGCAUGCGGAUUAAUUCGAUGCAACGCGUAGAACCUUACCUGGGUUUGACAUGGAUCGGGAGUGCUCAGAGAUGGGUGUGCCUCUUUUGGGGUCGGUUCACAGGUGGUGCAUGGCUGUCGUCAGCUCGUGUCGUGAGAUGUUGGGUUAAGUCCCGCAACGAGCGCAACCCUUGUUCACUGUUGCCAGCACGUUAUGGUGGGGACUCAGUGGAGACCGCCGGGGUCAACUCGGAGGAAGGUGGGGAUGACGUCAAGUCAUCAUGCCCCUUAUGUCCAGGGCUUCACGCAUGCUACAAUGGCUGGUACAGAGAGUGGCGAGCCUGUGAGGGUGAGCGAAUCUCGGAAAGCCGGUCUCAGUUCGGAUUGGGGUCUGCAACUCGACCUCAUGAAGUCGGAGUCGCUAGUAAUCGCAGAUCAGCAACGCUGCGGUGAAUACGUUCCCGGG
rnacentral:rRNA from 1 species